rnacentral:lncRNA from 1 species
GUCCUUAAAUUAUAGGCUCUCCUGCAGUUUCAAAAAGCUAAUUCACACUACUGUGUGCAUUAGAAAGGUGGUAUAUAUGAUAUUCCACUAAGGGAAACCCUAGGAACAUUAAACUCCUACUAGUAACUGGUCACGAGUCAGGGCUAGAACUGACACUAGUCAUUUUUCUUCACUGACAAGUUUUCAUUAUGUGGCUUUCCCAGAACAAUUUAGAAAUUGAUCUGCAACUGAUGGAAGCUGGGAUGAAUUGGGCGCAUAAGUGAACCCAAAGCAUCAGAGCAAAGUCAAAGCGAACAUCUGGCUCCAGCUUUGAGUACAAGAUUAAUAAAGGAGUCUCUCCAUAUCCUCUCUGUCCACGUUCGUUGUGGACGGGGUCACCAGGAAGAUGGUUCCUGGGUGAUGAGAGUGUCCAGGACAUUGUCUUCGGUGGACUACUGGCACAGGGACCUGAAUAAGACACUGGGAUUUACAAAGUGGAAAAGAAAUCACUGAGGGAUCCCUCAAGCCACUGAAAACAUGUACCAUUUGCCAUAAAACAGCAUUAAACAUUAAGUCAACAGAUUGCACAUGAAUAUCAACAAUCCUGCAAAAAAAGCCAGUCCCUUAAGAAACAUCAAGAUUGACAGUUGUCAUCAGAGAAAUGAUGAGGACCAGGAUCUUCAGGGUACCAUCUGGUGCUGUGUUUGAAGAAAAUGAGAAUGAGAGAUAUUUCCUCAAUAGAUGAAACUAUUGGCCCCAGCUCCAAAUUCACACUUGUUGCAGCAGUUAAUUCUGCAAAAUCACAGAAGGAAAAAAAGUCAGGCCAAGGUUCUGCCUUGCUCUUUCUUGAAUCACCUGCUCUGGAGGAAGCCAGUUGCAUGGGAAGACAUCCAAGCAGCCAUGGGUUGUGUA